rnacentral:rRNA from 1 species
UACAGAGGGGGCAAGCGUUAUUCGGAAUUAUUGGGCGUAAAGGGCGCGUAGGCGGCUUUGCAAGUGACGGGUGAAAUCCCUCGGCUUAACCGAGGAACUGCCUGUCAAACUGCAUGGCUUGAGACCGGGAGAGGUGAGUGGAAUUCCCAGUGUAGCGGUGAAAUGCGUAGAUAUUGGGAGGAACACCAGUGGCGAAGGCGGCUCACUGGACCGGUACUGACGCUGAGGCGCGAAAGCGUGGGUAGCAAACAGG